CUAGAAUGAAAAUAAAAAUAUGAAUGUAUACAUACAGGUAUAGGUAUAGUUAUGAUUUUUGGCAUAAUAUUCAACGUUGUAGAAAAAAAAUAACAAAGUUAAAAAAAAACAACGUAUUUUAUAUAUUUUUAAAAAAAAAACUUAUUACAAUAAUAAUAUUAUAAAAAACGAACAAACAACAUUUGAUACGACGAGCACGUAAUUUGUUUGCGUCUUGCGUCACGAUAAUAUGACUCACAAGCUGCAUUAUAUGAUUAAUAUGUUAUCCAACCGACUAUAGAUGGGAUAAUAAAGAUAAACGCAAUCUUAUCUCAACGCGAUAAGAUAAAAAUCAAAUAAAUUUGUACAAUCAAUAAUAAUAAUAAUAAUAAUAUGAAUAACGUAAUAGAUAAUUACAAUAACAACAGAGCUUUAAAAAUAUUCUUCAACGAAUUAUCAUUUUUUAUUAUUAUUAUUAUUUGUAUUUAAUACAGACGUAUUGGUGAAAAUUAAUUUUUCUUAAUUAUUAAUGAAUAUUGUUUUUCUAAUUAAUUAAUUAAGUGAAUAUUGAACAUUUUGUCUUGAUUUAUUCC